rnacentral:lncRNA from 12 species
GCUUAGGUCCAGCCAUAUGAACUCUGGUUCUCUGGCAGGACUUCUGUUAAAGAAGAGUAACUUUUAGGAAAAAAGCAAAACCCUAGUCCUGAAGAUGGUGAAGCCACGCAAGGGAUUCAGUCAGUAGCACAAAGAACAGUGGAGAGCCAACUUCAUCUACACUUGGCUUAUUCUGCACCCAUAAAAAUCAAUGAAUGGCCUGAUGAACCAAAUGAAAACAACGAAGCAUAUGAAGAUGAUGGAUAUCCAUCAAAAUACUCAGAUCUCCUUCCACAGCCUUCAAACUGGGGGCCCUACUUCUUGCCCUUCACUACUCUUGGCCUAUCAGGGGAAGUUGAGGACCUAGGAGGCCCAUGCCAUUUUUACCAUGCCACUCUCCCUUUCUACUGGUGGUAUGAGCCUCAGGACAUUUUUCAGCUCGAGAAAGCCAAGCCACCUCAUCCUGGACCAGGGAAGGAAGGUGCAAUGAAAAAUGAAACCGUGAUCAAAGAGAUAAGAACCCAGAGAGAUCAUGAUAUAGCAUAUGCUAUACCAAAAAGAUACAUCAAAUGGAAUCUAGGGAAUAUGGAUUUAUAAAGUUCAAUCCAAAAGUGCCCUGUAAUCCAUUCUCAUAUAUCACUACACUAUGUGAAACAAUAAAUGCAUUAUUUAAUCAGAAAAGUAUGGCUUC